rnacentral:lncRNA from 10 species
UCCAAGCACCUCUGCAAAUCCACUUCUCACAAACAUGAUAAUUAUGAUGUUAUCUGUGGUCAUUUGACUGAAAUCUAAGCCAAUGGAAUGGGAAUAGAGAUAUCUGUGCCACCUACACCUUCACACCUGGUCAAUGAAAACUGCCUGCAUGUUCUCCCACCUUUCAACUGAUGGCAACACUAGAACUGUCUUAGCAGCCUACAGUGUAAAUCUUGGCCAAAAGAAAGAACCAGAACUUGAAGAUGUAAUCAAAGACUUUCAUUCAGGAGUAUCAAGGAAUUGUGACCCGUCUCUAUAGCCUCCAGACCUUGACAAAGAAGACAGAAUUGCUUCUCAGUUCCUCAGAGCAGAACUGUGCAUGAAAUGAGACCCAUCAAUAAUUUUCUGGAGCCCAUCUCACAGCUGUGUGUUCCAACAGCAGGCUUAUACCCCUGGCGUUUUCAACAACAUGGCCUAAGGCACAGCCUUAUAGGCUUUCUAGAAGAAAAACUUCUUUGGGAGCCCUUUCCUGCUCACUUACCAGCCCUGUGAUUCAUGAAGAUAAAGAUUAUAUGAGAUAAUAUAUGCAAAAUACUGUGAAAACUACUAGGGCAAGUAUAAGGAAUUAUCAUCUAAUUUAGCUGGCUACAGAUACCCAAUGGUUCAUCCAGAAGUUUGUUCCAGCUAACAGCAGUUGUGCCUCUUUCAUGAGACUUAUCAUCCUUUGGUGGACUAGACUAGACUUAUUUGGAACAUGGAGACCUAAGAGUUUCAAGACUGAAAGCAAAUGAUUAGGACAUUUCCCUAAGGUCUAACCCCAGAAGUCAUAUAGCUUUGCUGUGCUGUAUUCUUUGGGUCAAAGAAAAUCACAAGGUCAGGCCAGGUUCAAGGGAAAGGGAAAAUAUGCUCCACCUUGUGAUGGCAGAUUUGGAAAUAAUCACAUACAAAUAAAAUAAAAAUUAAAACAUG